rnacentral:snoRNA from 11 species
GUGAUCUAUGAUGAUUCAAUACUAAAAUUGUGACUGCUGGAUGAAGCUUGCGGAUAUGGGACUGAGAUCAGCA